rnacentral:lncRNA from 1 species
ACGACUCUACAUACCGACUCCGAUCGAUCGAAUCCACAUGCCGGUUCCAAUCGGAUGACUCUCCAUGUUGACUCCAAUCGAUUGAAUCUAUAUAUCGACUCCUAUCGGUUAACUCUAUAUAUCGACAUCAAAUGAAUGACUAUAUUAUGCCGACUCAACUACGGCUGAGCAGAACAUUAUACUGACUCAAUUAUGGUUGAAUAAAAAAUAUA